rnacentral:rRNA from 1 species
CCUACGGGAGGCAGCAGUGGGGAAUCUUGCGCAAUGGGCGAAAGCCUGACGCAGCCAUGCCGCGUGAAUGAUGAAGGUCUUAGGAUUGUAAAAUUCUUUCACCGGGGACGAUAAUGACGGUACCCGGAGAAGAAGCCCCGGCUAACUUCGUGCCAGCAGCCGCGGUAAUACGAAGGGGGCUAGCGUUGCUCGGAAUUACUGGGCGUAAAGGGAGCGUAGGCGGAUAGUUUAGUCAGAGGUGAAAGCCCAGGGCUCAACCUUGGAAUUGCCUUUGAUACUGGCUAUCUUGAGUACGGAAGAGGUAUGUGGAACUCCGAGUGUAGAGGUGAAAUUCGUAGAUAUUCGGAAGAACACCAGUGGCGAAGGCGACAUACUGGUCCGUUACUGACGCUGAGGCUCGAAAGCGUGGGGAGCAAACAGGAUUAGAUACCCUGGUAGUCCACGCUGUAAACGAUGAGUGCUAGUUGUCGGCAUGCAUGCAUGUCGGUGACGCAGCUAACGCAUUAAGCACUCCGCCUGGGGAGUACGGUCGCAAGAUUAAAACUUAAAAUGAAAUUGACGG